GACGAACGCUGGCGGCGUGCUUAACACAUGCAAGUCGAACGGUGAAGGGACCGGUUUUUGCUGGUUCUGGAUGAGUGGCGAACGGGUGAGUAACACGUGAGUAACCUGCCCCCUUCUUCUGGAUAACCGCAUGAAAGUGUGGCUAAUACGGGAUAUUCUGCGCCUGCUGCAUGGUGGGUGUGGGAAAGAUAUUGUUUCGGUGGGGGAUGGGCUCGCGGCCUAUCAGCUUGUUGGUGGGGUGAUGGCCUACCAAGGCGGUGACGGGUAGCCGGCCUGAGAGGGUUGACGGUCACACUUGGACUGAGGCACGGGCCAGGCUCCUACGGGGGGCAGCAGUUGGGGAUAUUGGACAAUGGGGGCAAGGCUGAUGCAGCGGCGCCGCGUGAGGGGUGGAGGCCUUCGGGUUGUAAACCUCUUUCGCCAGUGAAGCAGGCCUGUCCCUUUUGUGGGUGGGUUGACGGUAGCUGGAUAAGAAGCGCCGGCUAACUACGUG
rnacentral:rRNA from 1 species